UGCGUAGGCGGCUCUCUAAGUCGGAUGUGAAAACUCUGGGCUCAACCCAGCGCCUGCAUCCGAAACUGGAGGGCUAGGGUUCUGGAGGGGAAAGCGGAAUUCCUGGUGUAGCGGUGAAAUGCGUAGAUAUCAGGAGGAACACCGGUGGCGAAGGCGGCUUUCUGGACAGAUACCGACGCUGAGGCACGAAAGCUGGGAGGCAAACA
rnacentral:rRNA from 1 species